UACGUAGGGUGCAAGCGUUGUCCGGAAUUAUUGGGCGUAAAGAGCUCGUAGGCGGUCUGUUGCGUCGGCUGUGAAAACCCGAGGCUCAACCUCGGGCCUGCAGCCGAUACGGGCAGACUAGAGUUCGGCAGGGGAGACUGGAAUUCCUGGUGUAGCGGUGAAAUGCGCAGAUAUCAGGAGGAACACCGAUGGCGAAGGCAGGUCUCUGGGCAUUAACUGACGCUGAGGAGCGAAAGCAUGGGGAGCGAACAGG
rnacentral:rRNA from 1 species